rnacentral:tRNA from 1 species
ACCUGACUGGCUCAGUAGAUAGAGCAUGUGACUCUUGGUCUUGGGGUCAUGAGUUCAAGCCCCAUGUUGGGCA